CAACUACUCCCUCUGUCCCAAAUUUCUUGUCUUAAGAUUUGUCUAGAUAUGGAUGUAUCUAAUACUAAAAUGUGACUUGAUACAUCCGUAUCUAGACAAAUCUAAGACAAGAAUUUUGGGACGGAGGGAGUACUUU
rnacentral:pre_miRNA from 1 species